rnacentral:rRNA from 1 species
CAGCUAAGGUCCCAAAGUCAUGGUUAAGUGGGAAACGAUGUGGGAAGGCCCAGACAGCCAGGAUGUUGGCUUAGAAGCAGCCAUCAUUUAAAGAAAGCGUAAUAGCUCACUGGUCGAGUCGGCCUGCGCGGAAGAUGUAACGGGGCUAAACCAUGCACCGAAGCUGCGGCAGCGACACUGUGUGUUGUUGGGUAGGGGAGCGUUCUGUAAGCCUGUGAAGGUGUGUCGUGAGGCAUGCUGGAGGUAUCAGAAGUGCGAAUGCUGACAUAAGUAACGAUAAAGCGGGUGAAAAGCCCGCUCGCCGGAAGACCAAGGGUUCCUGUCCAACGUUAAUCGGGGCAGGGUGAGUCGACCCCUAAGGC